ACACUACAAACUGAUCACACAACAAUAAAAGUUGUGUAGUCGGGCGUAUAGCAGCAGGAAUACACCUGUGGGACAGUA
rnacentral:ncRNA from 2 species